GACGAACCGUGCGAACGUUGUUCGGAAUCACUGGGCUUAAAGGGCGCGUAGGCGGCUUACCAAGUCAGGGGUGAAAUUUUGCGGCUUAACCGUAACAGUGCCUUUGAUACUGGUAGGCUCGAGGGAGAUAGGGGUCUGCGGAACUUCCGGUGGAGCGGUGAAAUGCGUUGAUAUCGGAAGGAACGCCGGUGGCGAAAGCGGCAGACUGGAUCUCUUCUGACGCUGAGGCGCGAAAGCUAGGGGAGCAAACGGG
rnacentral:rRNA from 1 species